AGAAAAACAGUUUCUUUUGUCCGUCUUCUUUCUCGGACUAUUCUCUUUUCUUCUGAAACACCUCCUUCUCACCAUGAAAGAAGAACAAAGGCUACGGAAAUCAGAGGUUUAAAAUAAUUUUUGAAUCCAAGAACCAUUGCAAUUGCUGCCCAUUUCUCAUUCUACAGAAAGGCAGUACAUCUUUGUAGUAAUGGAAGGAAAACAAGUCUUUGUUCCCCGUCGUAGCCCUAGAAUCAUAGAGCAAACUCGAAUCAAGAGUUGAUAGAAAUAUCUACAGAGCACAACACUGUACCAGAACUCUGUAGAAGUCUUCGAAUUGCAGAGCACGCGGGAGAAAAUGGAUAUGAUAAGUGAAAGGAAAAGGCAACUUCGCCAUGGCUUGGACCCACAUGAAAGAGCUCAUGAUCUACAUCAACGCCGAAUUCUUGAGAGAGACAAACAAAGCUCAAUCUUAAAAAUGCACUUUGUUCUUGCUUUCCGGCCAUCUCUAACUGAAAAUCCAUAGCUCUAUAGAAGGCUCCCAACUGCUCGGAGAGGUAUGGGAAUUUACUGAUGGCGGUGGCUGUUCAUCUUUGCUUACAGAACAGGAUUUGAUGCUUUAGCAGUUGCAGUUGCGAGAUACUAUUAAGGUGAGUUAGCGAUGUUGGGAUGCCAACAAAUUCUCCACUAUUAUCAUUCUUAAGUCAUAAGAAUGGUUCAUGCAGUGACUUAUUCUGGAACUUCAUUAUUGUUCUUCUAUUUGAUGUCACUGCUUAGAGUUUAUCAAAGGCUGCAGAAACUCACCACUUAGCAUCAGUCAAUUAUGCAAUAGUGAAUCAUGGGUUUUGCUUUCUUGGAGAGGCUAUGAAGAAAGGUUGUUGUCCAAAUUUAUACGAUCACUUUCAUUUCACUGAUUUAAGUAUUGAGUAUCAAGGAGGAGAUAAACCAGCUUAAGUGUUGGAUAAAAUGACUCGAUAAAGUGGGUCAUGCUCUUCAGCUAAGUCUCAGACAUCUUCUGCAUUUAGUUUCAGGUGUUUAGGCUAUGUAAAUGAAUCGUGAAGAAUUUUAUGUUUACUUUGUACAAUUGGACAUGUUACGUUAUUUAAUUGGUGUUUAUCGGAUUGCAGGACAGAGUUUUUGAUUCUUUACUGAAAGUAGUCUCAGGAUAAUCAAUGUGGAUAAUGAAGGACAUAGCUAAUGAUGUCCAUAAUGAUUUGGUCAAAGCAGACACCCCUGUUGAUUUUGGAGUACAGAAACAAAAGUACCUUUAGAUGGAGGUUGGCAGGCGCAUCACGCGUGCGUGUUAUACUAAUAUAUAUGGUACGGAGAGAGUAAUAUCAUCGUGCUAUAGCCAUGAAGGAUGAUGCUUAAGGGGGUGUUGCACAACAUACAACGGAAUGCUGCCCAAACCAUCCUUUAAAAGCGUCGUGAACUCGUGAUCAUUGGGCUGUUUUCCAUCGCGAUGGUCCCUUGGUGUGUGGUUUUGCCAGUUUGUCAUCAGCCCUUGGUGAGAUCCGUAAUCGGUCCAUAAAAUACCGGUCUCAUAAUUUCUCGAGGGCUUUACUGAUAUAAUUGGAAAUUGACGAUUUCUAAACAAAAGGUGCUGUGGUGUAGUCGGUUAUCACGUCAGUCUUACACACUGAAGGUCCCCAGUUCGAGCCUGGGCAGUACCAUUGAUUUAUUUUAUUUAUUGACUCAUUUAA